ACAGUAUCUGUGACUCUGUUAAUGUUUUUCGAAUAAUUUCUUGUUAAACAAGGCAUACAUUUCGGAAAGUUAUUACUAAACUUGAGAGUGAAAAUCUAUUUUAAGGACGGUGGGGCAUUUAUCGUCCUGAUUACCCAAUUAGCAAGCAAUGUAGGCUACGUUGCUUGCAAGCCGACCCCACAGCUCAGGCAGUGCUUUCCUUGACAGCAGCACUCUUUGAGUCCCUGCUGACUUCUCACUCAGGGCUAGCAGAACUGUGGCUGUGGUGAGCGCCCCCAAGUUAAAGACUGGCCAGUCACUCAUUCUGCAGAAGAUGUCAAAGCUGAUGCUAAAUGGCUGUCUUUGAAAGAACGGGAAGAACAAAGGAGACCGGCGUCUGGUAUUGGUCACUCUGGAAACAGCAGACCCAGGAAGAGGCGCUGGGCUCGCCUUGAGACAGAUAAGAUCAUCCCUCACAGACAAGGCACUGUAAUGAAACCGUGAGAUGCAGCUGCCGUACUUUGCUCUGUUAUGCAAUAUGACAUCAUACGCAGUGUCCAGCAGCCAGACCAUUAAGAAAAUGAAGGCAGCUUCCAUCUCAACAUGUCCUUUCCCUGUCAGAAAAUGAGGUCUCAUCAGGAAAUCAUCUACAUGGAACCUCUACCCAGGCAUGCCUCAUCAGCCUGCAGCACUUCUACCUAACUGGCUUUGGGGGACUAUCCCUGCCAUUUCUUGCAUAUCUAUUUAAAGAGGCAGGUAAUUUACGAUCGUCGGUUGCUUGCAAGUGGAAUGUCUGAAUUCAGAAAUGCAUACAAAAUGCAUCGCUGUGACUUCUGCCCACUGCUCAGCUCUGCUUUUUCUCUGAAAGAGCAUUCCCCUUCAUUGUUUCUUCCAGACAGUGAUUGAUGUUUUUCGUCUGUAAAUGCCAGUCUAUUGUUGUUGCUUUUUUGUGCCUGUACGGAUUCAUUGUAUGUAAAUGGUAAAAAAUAAAUUGACUCCAGUAUGCUGUAUGCCAGGCAGGUAGUG